UACGAGGGGGGCGAGCGUUGUUCGGAAUUAUUGGGCGUAAAGGGUGCGUAGGCGGUUCCGCAAGUCCUGUGUGAAAUCUUCGGGCUUAACUCGAAGCCUGCACGGGAAACUGCGGGGCUUGAGUGUGGGAGAGGUGAGUGGAAUUCCCGGUGUAGCGGUGAAAUGCGUAGAUAUAGGGAGGAACACCUGUGGCGAAAGCGGCUCACUGGACCAUAACUGACGCUGAUGCACGAAAGCUGGGGGAGCAAACAGG
rnacentral:rRNA from 1 species